rnacentral:rRNA from 1 species
GAUGAACGCUGGCGGCGUGCCUAAUACAUGCAAGUCGAGCGAACAGACGAGGAGCUUGCUCCUCUGACGUUAGCGGCGGACGGGUGAGUAACACGUGGAUAACCUACCUAUAAGACUGGGAUAACUUCGGGAAACCGGAGCUAAUACCGGAUAAUAUAUUGAACCGCAUGGUUCAAUAGUGAAAGACGGUUUUGCUGUCACUUAUAGAUGGAUCCGCGCCGCAUUAGCUAGUUGGUAAGGUAACGGCUUACCAAGGCAACGAUGCGUAGCCGACCUGAGAGGGUGAUCGGCCACACUGGAACUGAGACACGGUCCAGACUCCUACGGGAGGCAGCAGUAGGGAAUCUUCCGCAAUGGGCGAAAGCCUGACGGAGCAACGCCGCGUGAGUGAUGAAGGUCUUCGGAUCGUAAAACUCUGUUAUUAGGGAAGAACAAAUGUGUAAGUAACUAUGCACGCCUUGACGGUACCUAAUCAGAAAGCCACGGCUAACUCCGUG